GCUGGGUGUGGUGGUGCACACCUGUAAUCCUAGCUACUCGGGAGGCUGAGGCAGGAGAAUCACUUGAACCUGGGAAGUGGAGGUUGCAGUGAGCCUAGAUUGUGCCCUGCACUCCAGCCUGGGUGACAGAGUGAGAAUCUGUCUCAA
rnacentral:SRP_RNA from 1 species